rnacentral:rRNA from 1 species
GACGAACGCUGGCGGCGUGCUUAACACAUGCAAGUCGAACGGAAAGGCCCUGCUUUUGUGGGGUGCUCGAGUGGCGAACGGGUGAGUAACACGUGAGUAACCUGCCCUUGACUUUGGGAUAACUUCAGGAAACUGGGGCUAAUACCGGAUAGGAGCUCCUGCUGCAUGGUGGGGGUUGGAAAGUUUCGGCGGUUGGGGAUGGACUCGCGGCUUAUCAUCUUGUUGGUGGGGUAGGGGCUUACCAAGGCUUGGACGGUUAGCAGGCCUGAGAGGGUGAACGGCCACAUUGGGACUGAGAUACGGCCCAGACUCCUACGGGAGGCAGCAGUGGGGAAUAUUGCACAAUGGGCGGAAGCCUGAUGCAGCAACGCCGCGUGCGGGAUGACGGCCUUCGGGUUGUAAACCGCUUUCGCCUGUGACGAAGCGUGAGUGACGGUAAUGGGUAAAGAAGCACCGGCUAACUACGUG